CGGAAGUAGUUCAGUGGUAGAACAUCACCUUGCCAUGGUGGGGGUCGCGGGUUCAAAUCCCGUCUUCC
rnacentral:tRNA from 1 species